rnacentral:rRNA from 1 species
ACUAAGGUGAAACCGCGAAAGGCUCAUUAAAUCAGCUAUAAUUUAAUAGGUGGUACACACACACACGGUUACUUGGAUAACUGUGGCAAUUCUAGAGCUAAUACAUGCAAAACGAGUUCCGACCGGCGGAACGAAUGCUUUUAUUAGAACAAAACCAAUCGAAUCUGAAUAACUUUAAGCUGAUCGCACGGUCUCCGAACCGGCGACGCAUCUUUCAAAUGUCUGACUUAUCAACUUUCGAUGGUACGUUACGCGCCUACCAUGGUCGUUACGGGUGACGGGGAAUCAGGGUUCGAUUCCGGAGAGGGAGCCUGAGAAACGGCUACCACAUCCAAGGAAGGCAGCAGGCGCGCAAAUUACCCACUCCCGGCACGGGGAGGUAGUGACGAAAAAUAACGAUGCAGGACUCUUAACGAGGCUCUGCAAUCGGAAUGAGCACAC